rnacentral:rRNA from 1 species
UAGCUUUAUACGGCGAAACUGCGAAUGGCUCAUUAAACAGUUAUAGUUUAUUUGAUAGUCGAUUUUUACUACAUGGAUAACCGUGGUAAUUCUAUGGCUAAUACAUGCGCAAAUACUGUAUAAUCAUAUUUAUUAUGAUUGUACAGUAGUGUUUAUUAGAUACAGAACCAACAGUGCGCCAUCACUUUUUAGUGGUGGUGUCAAAAGAGAAGGUGAUUCAUAGUAACCGAACGGAUCGCAUCAUAUUAUAAUCAUUUCGGUGAUUGGCGAUAGAUCAUUCAAGUUUCUGACCUAUCAGCUUUCGACGGUAGUGUAUUGGACUACCGUGGCAGUGACGGGUAACGGGGAAUUAGGGUUCGAUUCCGGAGAGGGAGCCUGAGAAACGGCUACCACAUCUAAGGAAGGCAGCAGGCGCGCAAAUUACCCAAUCCUGACUCAGGGAGGUAGUGACAAGAAAUAACAACACUGGAAAUUGUAUUUCUAGUGAUUGGAAUGAUGGGAAUCCAAACCCCUUUCAGAGUAACAAUUGGAGGGCAAGUCUGGUGCCAGCAGCCGCGGUAAUUCCAGCUCCAAUAGCGUAUAUUAAAGUUGUUGCAGUUAAAAAGCUCGUAGUUGGAUAUCUGCUGGAAGCAAUCAGUCCGCCCUUUUCGUAAGGGUGUGCACUUGAUGAAUUCUGGCAUGAUUUCAUCCUAAUAAUAAUAUAUUAUUAUAUUAGGUUGAUUCCUAGUAUAAUAAUAUUUAUUAUUAUGGGGAUGACAGUUACUUUGAGAAAAUUAGAGUGUUUGAAGCAGGCUUUUGUUGCCUUGAAUACUGCAGCAUGGAAUAACAAUAUAGGAUUUUGGUUCUAUUAUUUUGUUGGUUUUUUCUGUAGGACUGAAAUAAUGAUUAAUAGGGACAGUUGGGGGCAUUCGUAUUUAACUGUCAGAGGUGAAAUUCUAG